rnacentral:lncRNA from 1 species
UCUAAGAGAGGUGUAUGAUAUUGAUAAAGUCUUAUCAAGGCAAUCUAGUAUCAAAAAUCUGAACUUUGGUAAGAAAGUCAAUAAAGUAUUGAUUUCUAGAAGUUCAGUUGAUUUAUGGGUACAUGUCAAAGCUAGUGGGAGCAUAAGUGUUAUGCUAAUAAUCAUCAUGUUAGUGGGAGCAUGAUAAUUAUGAUAAGUAUUGCAAGUUAGCAAUGUUAAUUAUAGAAAACAAAAGUUUCAAUUCGUGAGGUUGCAGGGGUUGAAAAAGUUGUUUUGCUACAAUUAAGGGAGAGGAAAUUAUACUUCAUCUCAAAUCUAAAAGCUUAGAUUGAGGUCUUAAUCGUAUUUAGUCAAGAAUAUAUAUGAAUUUCAUGUUGGGAUGGCUCAACAUAAGGAAAUUCUAUAUAUGGGUUCAUUAUUUGCGUUCUAAAAUUCGAUUAAGAUUACGACAUCCCUUUUCAUAAUAUGAAUUAUGAGAACUUGGCAAAUAGAAAUGGAAAUAUUAUAGCAAAAGACUGGUUUAGUCUUUAUGUGAGACAUCAUGAAUCGUGUCCCAUAUGCUUCGGAUAUAGGAUCGAUUACAUGUGCUAUAUUCAUCCUUUCUAAAAUUUUCCAAAUGCCUGGGGCAUUAAGAAGGGAAAAGGUUUAGAACUGGAUAUGACUAAAAGGAUUAAACAAUUGUCGAGGACAAUCUAAGGUUUACCAAAGAUUGGUUGCUCAAGGACAGUUGGAAGUAUAGUGAUAAUUCUGGAAGGACCAUAUUGACAUAAUCUGUAAGGAGGCAACUCUUGUUCAGAAGUGAUAGUCAAAAUGGAAUCUGGAAAUGUUUCAAAGUUAGAAUUUUCAAUCUGUGUAAGAUUANNNNNNNNNNNNNNNNNNNNNNNNNNNNNNNNNNNNNNNNNNNNNNNNNNNNNNNNNNNNNNNNNNNNNNNNNNNNNNNNNNNNNNNNNNNNNNNNNNNNNNNNNNNNNNNNNNNNNNNNNNNNNNNNNNNNNNNNNNNNNNNNNNNNNNNNNNNNNNNNNNNNNNNNNNNNNNNNNNNNNNNNNNNNNNNNNNNNNNNNNNNNNNNNNNNNNNNNNNNNNNNNNNNNNNNNNNNNNNNNNNNNNNNNNNNNNNNNNNNNNNNNNNNNNNNNNNNNNNNNNNNNNNNNNNNNNNNNNNNNNNNNNNNNNNNNNNNNNNNNNNNNNNNNNNNNNNNNNNNNNNNNNNNNNNNNNNNNNNNNNNNNNNNNNNNNNNNNNNNNNNNNNNNNNNNNNNNNNNNNNNNNNNNNNNNNNNNNNNNNNNNNNNNNNNNNNNNNNNNNNNNNNNNNNNNNNNNNNNNNNNNNNNNNNNNNNNNNNNNNNNNNNNNNNNNNNNNNNNNNNNNNNNNNNNNNNNNNNNNNNNNNNNNNNNNNNNNNNNNNNNNNNNNNNNNNNNNNNNNNNNNNNNNNNNNNNNNNNNNNNNNNNNNNNNNNNNNNNNNNNNNNNNNNNNNNNNNNNNNNNNNNNNNNNNNNNNNNNNNNNNNNNNNNNNNNNNNNNNNNNNNNNNNNNNNNNNNNNNNNNNNNNNNNNNNNNNNNNNNNNNNNNNNNNNNNNNNNNNNNNNNNNNNNNNNNNNNNNNNNNNNNNNNNNNNNNNNNNNNNNNNNNNNNNNNNNNNNNNNNNNNNNNNNNNNNNNNNNNNNNNNNNNNNNNNNNNNNNNNNNNNNNNNNNNNNNNNNNNNNNNNNNNNNNNNNNNNNNNNNNNNNNNNNNNNNNNNNNNNNNNNNNNNNNNNNNNNNNNNNNNNNNNNNNNNNNNNNNNNNNNNNNNNNNNNNNNNNNNNNNNNNNNNNNNNNNNNNNNNNNNNNNNNNNNNNNNNNNNNNNNNNNNNNNNNNNNNNNNNNNNNNNNNNNNNNNNNNNNNNNNNNNNNNNNNNNNNNNNNNNNNNNNNNNNNNNNNNNNNNNNNNNNNNNNNNNNNNNNNNNNNNNNNNNNNNNNNNNNNNNNNNNNNNNNNNNNNNNNNNNNNNNNNNNNNNNNNNNNNNNNNNNNNNNNNNNNNNNNNNNNNNNNNNNNNNNNNNNNNNNNNNNNNNNNNNNNNNNNNNNNNNNNNNNNNNNNNNNNNNNNNNNNNNNNNNNNNNNNNNNNNNNNNNNNNNNNNNNNNNNNNNNNNNNNNNNNNNNNNNNNNNNNNNNNNNNNNNNNNNNNNNNNNNNNNNNNNNNNNNNNNNNNNNNNNNNNNNNNNNNNNNNNNNNNNNNNNNNNNNNNNNNNNNNNNNNNNNNNNNNNNNNNNNNNNNNNNNNNNNNNNNNNNNNNNNNNNNNNNNNNNNNNNNNNNNNNNNNNNNNNNNNNNNNNNNNNNNNNNNNNNNNNNNNNNNNNNNNNNNNNNNNNNNNNNNNNNNNNNNNNNNNNNNNNNNNNNNNNNNNNNNNNNNNNNNNNNNNNNNNNNNNNNNNNNNNNNNNNNNNNNNNNNNNNNNNNNNNNNNNNNNNNNNNNNNNNNNNNNNNNNNNNNNNNNNNNNNNNNNNNNNCCUAAGCUCGUUGGACCCUCCGGUCCGGUCUGCUUCAGCCUUCCGGCCUCAUAAAUCGUUGGACCCUUCGGUCCGGUCUAUAAACUCCGCAUAGCAUAAAUCACAAAGACAUAAUGCAUAGCAUAUCACAUACAACAGGAUAACAUAAUACUCAAUGUAAGCACGUAAGACCUUCCGGUCACACAUAACUACCACUCAAGGUAAAGUAUAGUGAGAAGACUCACCUGGCAAGCAGAAAGCAGAUAUCCCCACACUUGAAUCUCAAACCCGCCACUGCCUAACACGUAAGGCAUAUACUCUCAUGAAUAUAACUCUCGAGACUAGAAUCAACCCUCUCAUGGCACCCUCUUAAGGGUAAAAGACCAUUUUACCCCUCUCUUGCCCAAAGGCCACAUCGCUGACCAAGCCCUAAAAGUCAACGGCCAACUCUUGGUCAAAGUCAAAGUCCUCAGUCCAAGUCAACCCUCCUGGUUGACCCUGCUCGCCGAGUCAACCCGUCGACUCGUCGAGUCCCCAUGCUCAGAACUUCCCCAAUCCGCGACCCAACUCGCCGAGUCACCCCGAGACUUGCCAAGUUCCACAACUCUGAGUCCACUCGCAUACAACUCACCGAGUCAUCCCUUGACUCGCCGAUUCUCAACUCGACCAGAAGAUAUUGGGACUCUUCGACAAGACUCACCGAGCCCAAGAACAGACUCGCCGAUUCUAAGGCUAUCUUCAACCUACUCGCCGAGUUGUUCAUACAACUCGCCGAGUUCCAGGCCAUCUUCAUCCAACUCGCGGAGUUGUUCUUCCAACUCAUCGAGUUCCAGCUCAUCUUCAAGCAACUCGUCGAGUCCACCCAUGUGACUCGCCGAGUAUCAAUGGUCUGAACCCAUACAGAAGCUUUUCAGGCCAUGCUAUUGAUCCAAAACAUAGAUCUAGCUUCCUACAACUCAUCCAUCACGUAAAGUGGCAAACUUUACGUGAAUCCCAAGAGAUCCAUGCAUUUUGCACAUUAGGGCUAAGGUUUGGGACAUGAUAGCUUCACUACACACUCAAACACAGGGACUUUCAGGCAUUCCAACCCUUCUCCAUUCCACAUCUGAGGUAGCAACCUCAGAUCUGACCUCUAAACUCCAAAACAUCCAAGGACAUGGUCUCUAACACUCCCAAAAUGAUGCAUCUAAGAAAUAGCAGCUCAAAAAAGAGAUGUUACCUCAAAAGAACGCCCCAACUAAAAUGAAACUUGAAUCCAAGCAAAGCCCCUUGCUCCAAGUCUCUCCUUCUCUAAGAUCUCUUCAAUAAUCACCUCUCCAAGCUCUAAUUUACCCAUACUCGGCUCGAAUAUGCAUCACAGACACUGGAGGCAAUCGAUAUAUCAAAAUGUCCACCCUUGCGAAGAUUCACUUCCUCAAAUAAUCUCCCUGGAUGCCCAUACUCUAAGGGCUCCCACUAGAUCCAUAGAUACCUGAUAUACCACAAGUCGUCUCAACUCCAGAUUCACGAUUAACCCCGAAAUAAAGAUAUCAUACCCGGAUACCUCGGAAUAUCCCAACAGAAUCAUCACCAGAUCCUGCCACNCGACCCCCCCCCCCCCCUGCCCCCAAGCAUCAUAUAGAUACAAUAAUACAUUUCCUCUGAACCCCAUAAUUAGAUCUACAUUUUUCCCAAAAUGCAACUUCGGUGUAUUCAAUUUCUCAAUUGGAAUACGAGAAAACGUUAGCGCUACGAAAUACGCUGAUAAUUCUCCGAAACCCUUAUUCCCACCGCUCAAAAUCCAAACAAGGAUACGCAUACCAACCCGGGAGUUGGCUGCCCAGUCAUUCUCCAACAACACUGACCACUACCAGGUUCAUGACCAUUAAACACCUGCCAUGGAGACAUUCAUCCUUCUCAAACAAGUACUUCCCGCAUUAACUCACUCUGACCCCCUUCCCUUGUUCACCAACAUCUCUGGUUCUCUCAAUAAACCACCCGGUUCUCCCCCACUUAGGGUGCGAACCAUCACUAUCUGACACAUCAACAACCUCACGAACUAUUUCCACCAACAAUAACGCACCUGCCCCUGGAAAGUGCUACGCAACACCCGAUAAUCCCCUUAAGGAAAUUAACCGAUCUCAUAACUCUGAUCCUCAGAUGAAAUCCUCAAGAACUUCUUGUCACGACUGCCUCUAGUCGUUCCAAGUCUCGCACCAAUCCAAUACCAACAACUCAAUUGUCCAAUAACAUCACUGACUCAUAGACUGGACCACGAAAUCAUCAUAUUCCCCACUUCGACUCAUCAACCAACGUUCGAACACAUGGAUCAUCCCAAGCACAGGGACCCACUACCAUAUUCAAUACCCAACAUGGAUAGAAAAAACCACUACACUGAUUAAUUCGACAGAACUCCCCACUGAUACCACUACAAUACAUCCUACUAUACACAAAUAGGGGUAAUGUGGUCCUCGACUAUCUCAGUCCCCACUGACUAUCUGAUCAUGAUAAAUCAUUGCCCCGCGGCACACAUGCUACCUGAUACUCUGGUGGGAAAUCAUCAUCAAUGACGACCUGCAGGGUUUACCCCCACACCUAAAACUUAAACAUCAUGCUUCUCAUAUUUUGCACACGAACAUAAUCAGUACCACCCAGAUCAUAGAAGGUGACAUCUCCUUUAUCGACUGAUCGCUCAACUCAGAUCGAAAUUCUCCAUUCUCACUGACUCCUUACUAAAAUACUCUGAGAGGCUCUCGAUCUCCCUCUCAAGGGACGCCUCUUCGAACUCAAACAUGAACGGAUACCUGGAGAACCACAAACAUCAUUCCCUACGAACCAUGGUACUCAUUCCAUGACAUCUCUUCUCAAUAUGCUCCGGCGUACGGUACUCGAACCUUAACAUCACUCCUUAGUCCGCUCCGAUGUAUGGUACCCGAACCAUAACAUCACUCAUCAAUCCGCUCUGAUGUAUGGUACUUGAAUCAUAAAAUCACUCCUCAAUCCGCUCCGAUGUAUGGUACUCAAACCAUAACAUCACUCCUCAAUCCGCUCCGAUGUAUGGUACUCGAACCAUAACAUCACUCCUCAAUCCGCUCCUUAGAACCUUCAGAAUACUCCCUGUAUCAAGUAUGGGUCCUCUGCUUUCAGUAGUACGGGCCCAUACUACCUGCCACAUCUACCCAUACUUUCCACACGGACUAUCCCGGAGCUCCUAAGUAGCUUAUCGACCUUCUCGUUCACCAAUUCCGACGCGCGCUUGCUCCCUAGUGAAAUUCUCUACUCUGCCAGUGCACUCAUCUGGCUAAGGUUACUCCCUAGGCUCUUCCCAGAUUCCCACACUUCUCUGCCAUCAGCUGCUGAAGAGCUCCUAAUGAUGCCAGCCAUCUACCUCCUGAAUAUCGUCAUAUUCGCUUGGUAGCUGACUCCCAUCAUCGAGAGUUCCACAAAGCACGAAGCAAGCAGCAUUCGAGCAUCGAAGAAUAUAUAUGACUCACUCUGGGUGAUAACUCCGCUUGCUCUGCUCNAUGGGUUCUAACUGGAUACUCUCACUCAUCACAUACUCAAAAGCAUAACACAUAUAACAACAAUUCCUAGGCUAAGGCAUCACAAAUCAGGCCACUCUAGUCCUAAGAUAUGAAAUACCUAGCCUGUCUCUAGCAUGCAAUAAUAUCUCAUAAAGUGCAUCAUAAAUAUCUCAAAACACAAAAGUAAGGGUAUUUUGGGAAAUCACCGUUCGGGCUCUGGCUGAUUGUACACACUGCUCUUUCUCGCUUUCUCUUUGAACUCUUAUUCACUUUUAGAAACUCAUUUCUUUUGAAAACUUUUCUUGCUUCCUCAGCUUGAGUCCAGAUUUACCCGAAGGCGCAUCCGAAUCCCUCAAAUGAAGGCUCUGAUACCAACUUGUAACACCGAAAAUUUCUAACAAUUUUUCAUUAAAAAAUAAUCGUUUAAUUCCUAGAAACACUUCUUUAAAAUCUCAUUCCUAAUCGAAUUACAAAAACAUGACUCCAUUUCACUUGUAUAGAAAACCAGGAUCCUCAAAACAUGACACUUUCUCUUGUGUGUACAAUAAAGCCGGUGCCGUCCCGUGAUAUUGAAAGAAACCUGCAACACAACAUAAAACAAAACACUAUAAGCACGAAGCUUAAUGAGUUCCCCAAAAUACCACUCAUAACACAUAUUAGCCACUCGAGGCUAUAACUCUGUGGACCCUCUGGUCCUAACUCUGUGGACCCUCCGGCCCUAACUCUGUGGACCCUCUGGUCCUAAGCUCGUUGGACCCUCCGGUCCGGUCUGCUUAAGCCUUCCGGCCUCAUAAAUCGUUGGACCCUUCGGUCCGGUCUAUAAACUCCGCAUAGCAUAAAUCACAGAGACAUAAUGCAUAGCAUAUCACAUACAACAGGAUAACAUAAUACUCAAUGUAAGAACGUAAGACCUUCCGGUCACACAUAACUACCACUCAAGGUAAAGUAUAGUGAGAAGACUCACCUGGCAAGCAGAAAGCAAAUAUCCCCACACUUGAAUCUCGAACCCGCCGCUGCCUAACACGUAAGGCAUAUACUCUCAUGAAUAUAACUCUUGAGACUAGAAUCAACCCUCUCAUGGCACCCUCUUAAGGGUAAAAGACCAUUUUACCCCUCUCUUGGCCCAAAGGCCACAUCGCUGACCAAGCCCAAAAAGUCAACGGCCAACUCUUGGUCAAAGUCAAAGUCCUAAGUCCAAGUCAACCCUCCUGGUUGACCCUGCUCGCCGAGUCAACCCGUCGACUCGUCGAGUCCCCAUGCUCAGAACUUCCCCAAUCCGCGACCCAACUCGCCGAGUCACCCCGAGACUCGCCGAGUUCCUCAACUCUGAGUCCACUCGCACACAACUCACCGAGUCAUCCCUUGACUCACCGAUUCUCGACUCAACCAGAAAAUAUUGGGACUCUUCGACAAGACUCGCCGAGCCCAAGAACAGACUCGCCGAGUCUAAGGCUAUCUUCAACCUACUCGCCGAGUUGCUCAUACAACUCGCCGAGUUCCAGGCCAUCUUCAUCCAACUCGCCGAGUUGUUCUUCCAACUCGUCGAGUUCCAGCUCAUCUUCAAGCAACUCGUCGAGUCCACCCAUGUGACUCGCCGAGUAUCACCGGUCUGAACCCAUAUAGAAGCAUUUCAGGCCAUGCAAUUGAUCCAAAACAUAGAUCUAGCCUCCUACAACUCAUCCAUCAUGUAAAGUGGCAAACUUUACGUGAAUCCCAAGAGAUCCAUGCAUUUUGCACAUUAGGGCUAAGGUUUGGGACAUGAUAGCUUCAUCCAACACUCAACACAGGGACUUUCAUGCAUUCCAACCCUUCUCCAUUCUAGAUCUGAGGUAGUAACCUCAGAUCUGACCUCUAAAAUCCAAAACAUCCAAGGACAUGGUCUCUAACACUCCCAAAAUGAUGCAUCUAAGAAAUAGCAGCUCAAAAAACGAGAUGUUACCUCAAAAGAACGCCCCAACUGAAAUGAAACUUGAAUCCAAGCAAAGCCCCUUGCUCCAAGCCUCUCCUUCUCUAAGAUCUCUUCAAUAAUCACCUCUCCAAGCUCUAAUUUGCUCAACAAUGGUGCUUCUCCAUGAUUUUAGGGUUUUUGGGACUCAAGGGGGGUGAUAAAGAGGCUGGUNGAGGAAAACAUAAUGUUCUUUAUAUAGGGCUCAACCCCGAGAAUUAGGGUUUUCUCCACUCAGCGCCUACUCGUCGAGUCCACCUCAUUGAAUCGCCGAGUCGGCUACUUAACACGCGACCAAAUCACGACUCUACUCGCCGAGCCCAUCCAUGGACUCGCCGAGUCAUUCCUUCCCAAUUUACUCUUUUAGCCCUUCAACUCUACUCUUGAUAUUUAGGGAUGUUACACCUUGGGGAUAAAAGCGAUAUCUAUGGGCCCCUCGAUGAUUUGAUGAUGACAAAUGGAAGUGCUCGGCCGGGCAGGACUGAUUUGAUUUGUUCUAUUAGUCAUUCUUCAUAAAUCGGAAAUCGGGAAACAACAAAUGGGCAGAGAGAAUGAUUAUAAUCCAUGUCUCAGUCCAUAUGAUAUCUAGAAUGGAGGAAUAUAUGAUCCCUUAUCUAAUGGACGCAUCAUCGAUUUUUUUAGAGUUCGACAGUNUUGCUAGUCGGGUUAUGAAGUCGUACUUGCAAUAAUAGUUUUAGACUUAUCCAAGUGGGAGACUGUUGGAUUAGAUGUCUAAGCCCAUAACUAUUAUUGGUAUGUACUUGACCCGAGAGUAGCAUGGUCCAUUUGGGUUGCAUAUCAUCAGGACAAUUUGUUAGGAUGGACUUUUGAGAGAAGGUUAUUUAUGGUUUAUUAAUAUAUUAUAAGUUAUAAUAUAUUAAUAUGAAAUCAUAUGUUUUAAUUAGUAUCGAUCAAGAAUUAAUUUGGAAUUAAUUUAGUGAUCAAAAGAGACUAAUUAAAUCUAUGGGGACUAAUUAUGAUAAUUAGUUAUAUUUAUAUGUGUUGGGCUUAUGACCCAUGUUGGACCAAGUUUAUGUAUGGAUACAUAAAGAGUUGGGCCACAUGAACCAUGGAUCAUAAAACCCAUGGGUAUGGAUUAUGGGUUAUACCCAUGACCCUUGGAAUCCUACAUAUAAAUAGGUUACUCCAUAGCCAAAAUCACCACUUCUUUUCUUAGAGAAAUAUGGAGGUGUUUUGGUGCAUGGAAUUCUCUCUCAAGAGCUACCUUUGUCCUAGGUGUGUUGUGAUUCCAUUUGAGGUAUUUCAUACUAUUGGUGCUAAGCUCUUAAGGCCAAAGACAUCAAGACUUCAAGCCACAUAAAAGGUAUGUUUCCCUAACUAAUAUAUUAUAUGGUUUAUGUCAAAUGCAUGCUAGUUAUAAGUUUAAUGCCUUGGAAACCAUUUGCAUGUAUAAUUAGUGAAAACAUAGAUCCAAGGUAUUUAGGGUUGUAUGUGCAACAUAGGAUGUUGUAUUAUACCAAAACCCAACACUAUUGACUUGAUAAUGUUUGUACAUAAUGGAAAUUUCGGGUUGUCACAAACUGGCCGAGUUUAGCUGUAGCUAAUAACUCAGGUGUGGGCGAGUCACCCACGUAUAGAUCUACACACAAACUCUCGCUCUCCCUCUAGGAGACUCUGGUUAUAACUAUAGACUACGACCGACACUUAAUAGCGUCACCCGUUAUUUGCCACUAAAUCCAAUUGAAUUUGAAUAACCUUGUUUAUUGACCAAAUUUUAUGUUUACUUGAAUAACUGAGAUAAGCCUAACAGACGAAGAGAAGAGGGCAGCAGAGGCCCACUAAUCCUGUAUGUUAUUAUAGGAUGUCGAGUAUGAGAUGGGCACAUUGGCCCAUCAUGCAUAUGUUUUAUUUGGACCUUACUAGCAAUGCCAACGGGCCACUGAGGCCCAAUAGCAUGUAAAAGCCAUUGAGGGUCCCUUAGGCAUGUAAUUGGGUCACAGGAGGCCCAAUAAACAUGUGUGAAAAUAUCAUGCCCAAUCAACAUGAUAUUGGGCCACAAAGCCCCAAUAGCACAUAUAGAAGGUAGUUAAGUCCAAAUUUUGAAUCGUUUAUGUUUUAUCGAGUUUAAGUUCGUAUUGUUAGUAUUCGUGGUAUGUUAAAUGUUUAUUAGCAAUAACGAAACAUUUUAACGUUUGAAUUAUAACGAAGUUUUUAAUAUAUGUAUAUAUAUCUUUAAAACUAUGUGUUACAAACUUGAUAUUUUUAACCCCAAAAGUUGUAAUCGUUUAUUUGGCCCAAAAACAUUUAGAUUAGCCAUUAUGGCACCUUUUUCUAUAAAACCGACAGAUUGAGUCCCUUUUUACAAAAAUUUACAUUUUCGGGCCUCAAACCAUUUUUAUUGACAUUUUCCACCCAAACUUUAUCUGAAUAGUAAUUUCAGUCCAAAACUAAUGCAUUUGUUAUUUCCAACCUUUAUUUACAAAACUUAUAUUUUUGGCCUAAUUUCCGUAUGUUAUACAAUUUUGACCCCAAAAUCAAAAACUUUGCAUUUUUAGUCAAAAUUUGAUUAUAAACUCAUUUUUAACCCCUGAAAAAGUUUAUUUACAUUUUAGACCCAUAGUUUGUUAAGUUUUCCAAUUCAAUCCAUCAAAUUCGGAUUUUUUUGCAACUUUGGGUCCAAAACCCAUUAGGCCCACUUUUAAGCCCAUUAAGCUAAAAUUUAUGUUUUUAACCCUUUGAAAAGUGUUAUUUUCAUAAAAAUCUGCUUUUAUGCAAAUAUUCAACUCAUAACCCUCAUAAAACCGAGAAAUUACAAUUUAUACCCAAUCUUUGUUGUUUUUGCAAAAAUGACACUUGUAAGGUUCUUUUGGUUUAGUUUUUCACUUUUUAAACUUAAAGAUCCUUAGAUCCAUGAAGUAUGUUGUUCAUUAUGUUCUUGUUCAUGAUUAUUUCACCCUUUUAUUAUAGAUCUCAAAAUAUAACAAAUAUUUCAUAUUAUCACAACCAAAAACUAAUGAAUUCACAUAUAGUAUGCAAACACACAUAGAUCAUCACAUGAUACUUGUAUUCCCCCCCCCCCCAAAAAAAAAAAACAAGUAAAAAUCAAAAACAAGGGGGUAUGAACUCACCUUGCUUUGUUCCUCACGGUUUUGAAGAAAGAAAUGAAGAAGAUUUUCGUCCUAGCAAGCUUUCUUGAUUGGAUUUUGAACUGAAGAAGUUCUAGGAAGAAAAACCACCAAAACUUUGUUUAAAAGAGUGAUAUAUCAAGAGAAUGGAAUUAUAAAACCUCGAGGUGUAAAGACUUACCAAGAAAUGAUGAUUAUCUUAUGAAGACCUGUUGAAACACAAGCAAAAGUCUUGAGAAUUUUGGAUUAAAAAGAUCAAUGAGUCUUAAGAGAAUUAGAGAGAGUUUGUUGUGAUGUGUGUGAAUGUUUGUGUGUUUGGGGGCUCUCGGCCAUGAGGAUAAGAAGAGAGGGAAAAAGAUAGGUGAAGAUGUGAUUGAUGCUUAGAUGUAUGAGAUUUAGGGUUUGCUUAAUGGUUAAUUUGCAUGGAAAACCACCGUGCAAUUGUGAUGUGUCAAUUACAAAUUAACCCUCUGUUUUUAAAAAAAAAACAUAAAUAUGCACAUAUAUAUUUACAUUGGGCCAAGAUUUUUGGGCUAACAGGACUAAUAAUGUGAUACUUUGGGCCCAUUCUAAGCUUAGUUCGAAUAUAUGGAACCCAAUGAUGAUUUUCAGCCCAUUGGGCUCUUGUGAGUGUUCAUGGCCGAAUAUGGUAUAAAGGAAUGGGUUUAUGGUCCAUGAAAGCUAAUUAAUUCAAUUAUGGCCCAAUAAGGCCGAUUAAAGUAAGCCAAUCCAUUUUGGAUCCAUUAUGGCCCAAAAGGUUAGGUUUUUAUGAAAGUGGGUCCAAUUAGGGCCCAUUUAAGGGUUCUAAGCCCAAAAUAGUCAAAUUCGAAGCUUAUUGGUCCAUUAGGCCCAAUAAGGAAAUCCUAGUCCAUAAUGGACUUAAACCGGGAUUUUUAGGGUUUCCAACCUUUUGUUGACUAUUUGAGUGUUUGUAUAGAGUGUUUGAUGGGAUUUUGUUGUCAUUAAAUAAGCAUCAUACAUGCUCUCAUGUUUUGGUUACAAUGUUAUCCUUGUUUAAUGUUUACAAAGCAUUAGAAUUCCUAGUUGUGACAAAGACAAUGCCAAUGGCCAAAUCCUAGUCGAGCUGCACAUUGAGCCUAACAAGGAAUUCCACAUACCUUUACAUUCUCCAUAGGUGGUUGUACACAAACUCUCCCUCUUUCAGCUUGCAAGCCAUGAGGGCUUUGAUCACUUUAGAUUUAUGUUGACGAGCUCUUUUGUGGUACAUUUCCACAAAGUCAUUGUUCUACACAUAGGGCCAAUAAUCCUCAUAUAACCUCUACAAUUUAGGGACCGUAGUGGCAACCAUGAUGCAAGCAACUUUUUUUGCAUUAUUGUAGUCUUUCUUUUAGGAGGCUAGUUGUUCUAGAGUAGCAGUGGCUUUAUCGAUUUCAACAAGAUUCUUUUUAAGGACGUACUCUUUGCCAUCAAAUAGAAGAGCCAUCUUGAUAUUACAAAUCCAAUCAUCAUAAUUGGUUCCAUCAAAUGUCACCUUUAACACGAUAGAGUAUGGAGAAACCCAAAUAGUGGAUAGACGAUAAUGGAGCAUAAGCAUCACCAAGAGUAGACAUCUAAAGAAAAAAGGUAGUUUUAGUUAUAUGAUAUAAUAAUCCUAAAUACUUAACCCAUAAUAAAUAUUUUGUCUAAGGCCUUACUAUGCAAUUAACAAUCUAGAAGAGGGAUGUCGUAAUCUAAUUGUAAAUUUUAUAAAGGUUGGUAAAAAGAAUUUACCAAUCUCAAUGAAAAUAAAAUUCUUAUCUUUUGAGAUUCAUUAAAUCUAUAAAGGGCAUGUCUAAUCUCAGAUUAUGCUCGUUCUAUUUGUGACUAGCAUAUCAAGGAUCGCAAACAAGAUUGGAAUAACCAUGCAAAUGUUCUUCGCAGCCUCGAUGUCAUUUAUCAUUUCCAAUUGAUGUAUUGGUUAACCACACACACUCCGUUAACAAUGAUAAUCAUCGAGAUGCCCAUUAUUACUCUUUAUAGUCCCUAUUAGUGUGUUGGUUAACCACACACACUCCACAAAUGGCAUAGAAAUCAUAAUAAGCAAUUUCAUGGAUUAACAUAGAAAUUCUCAUCUUUCCUAAAGUAACUAAGAGUGGGAUUUUAAAAAUAGUUUAGUUAUUUUAUAUAAUUAUACUUAUUAAUGAAGUUAUGUCCUAUUAAACCUGUUCAGCUAACGAAUCACCACCACAUAUGAGAGCGGCGGGUGAGAGUGGACACCCAUUCAACGACCAUUUUAUAAGCUGCUUCCUUAUACGCUCUUUAUAGCAUGUUUUCGCGAAUAAGGCUUACUAUUGAUUUGACUGACUUUUCUUAUACAUGUAGUAUAUUAACAUUUAAUUAUAUAUAUAAGGUGUAUUUUAAAAUCAUUUAUAAAAUACUAGCUUUAAUUAAAAAUUCGAAACUAAUAAAAAUUAAUUCAAUUUAAAUUAAACCAAUAAGGAUUAAAUAAUUUAUUUACCAUUAAACAAUUAAUAAAAUGAAUUUUAAUCAUAAUCCAAUAUGCUCUAAUUUCAAAAUUAGGGUUUUGGUUUUACCAAAUAAUAAUUAUCCAAUUUAAGGCAUUUAAAACGAAUAAAUAUCAAAUAAGGAAAACCUACUAAAACCCUACAAAUUUCGAAAAUCAAGAAGAGGGUUUGGGGUUUUUGAAACCCUUUCCCAAAUCGAAUAUACCAAAUGGGUAUUUGAUACAAUUCAACUUUAUGCAAGAUCCCAGAGAACAAUGGCCCUGAUACCACUAAUGGGUUUUGUAUGUGUCACACCCCAAAACCAAGAACGGCGGAAACGUUCCGGGGUGGAGGACGUCAUGUGAAGUAUCAUAACAGUGUAAAGUAGUAAACAAGCAACAACAUCAUCCAUUGCAUUAAAUAUAAAGUUUUAAUACAUGUGUGUUCUUUCAUAAUGUACAACAAUAAAAUGAAUAAUCAAAAUAUGACGAGUCUUGUAUGUGCUCCGUCUUCUCAAAACCUGACCAUCGUACCUGUCUAACCGGUGACCUGAGAAUACAAGUUAUUUUGAAAGCGAGUAUCAGCCUAAAGCUGGAGAAUUCAUAAGUAUUUAAGUGUCAUUGUCUUGUUUUGGAAAGUUGUGAUGAAUGCCAUGUAAAUCUUUAAAUGAAACAGUUGAUAUAAGUAUGAAAAACCUUAGAAAAUCCCAUGUUUGCUACUAGUAUGAAAUGUCGUCUUCUACCAAGACCCGAAUGUUUUGUUAUGAAAAUGAUAGUUUUUCCUUCUUUUUGACUAUUACAAAUAGUGCUUAGUCUAACUCAUCGUUUAUGAGAAUGUAUCACAAAAUAGAGUAAAUAGGAAAAGAAUAAAAGUCUUGUACCAAGACCCGAAUGUUUUUCUAUGAUAAUGAUAGUUUUUCCUUCUUUUUGACUAUUACAAUAGUACUUAGUCUAACUCAUCGUUUAUGUGAAUGUGUCACAAAAUAUGGUAAUAGGAAAAAUAUAAUCAUGUAAGUGUUAUCCUUUUGUAUUAGGAUUAACACGACAUCGCGAUUUGUGAAAUGUAUAACCUUUGAACAUCCGUAGAUUGUUUAAUUGUCCUCUGUAGCUACAGCAGGGGGAGGAAGGGUUAGUCCCGUAAUCGAUUUCUUAAUAUAAGUAUUAACCGUAGGCAUCCGUAGAUGUUCAUCAACCUCUGUAUCAAACAGUAGGCCCAAGGAAUGGUUAGUCCCGUAAACGUAUUCUAAUAUAAGAAUCAACCGUAGGCAUCCGUAGAUGUUCAUCAACCACUCGUGCUAACGGUUGGGCUUCAGAAUGGCUAGUCCUGUCUAGAUAUCCCGUUGAACUGGGAUAGGGAGGACAAUUUACAUAGAAGGUACUAAUAAAUCAUCCUAAUGAAUCGAGGUACAUGUAUCUAUGUAAACGUAUACAGGAAAAUGUAUCUACGUAAAGGUACUCAUGUAUGGUGUUCAUGUAAUUGUAUUCAUGUAAGGUACUCAUGUAAUGUAUUCAUAUAAGGUACUCAUGUAAUGUAUUAAUGUAAGCUACUCAUGUAAUGUACUCAUGUAAGGUACUCAUGUAAUGUAUUCAUGUAAGCUACUCAUGUAAUGUAUUCAUGUAAGGUACUCAUGUAAUGUAUAAUGUAGACUCAUGAAUGAACUGACUCUGAUGUAAUUCCUUGUAAUAGGAAUAAUGUUAUGUAUCUCCUAACUAUCCCUAUAAUAGUUAACUGGAAGGUAAUUGAUUGUCCAAACAGGUUUAUACACCCACGCUACACAAGAGUGUGGGAAACUGAAUGAAGGAUCAAAACUAUAACAUCAAUACAUAUAAAAGAACAUAAGUGUAUAGAUAUAGUUUUGUUCAAGAAGGUAAAAAUGGUUUUGUAAGACAUCUAAGAGUUUUGAACAAUAAUUAACAAUGAAUUGAUGUCAUUUUAAUAAAUAUUUCAAACGUAAUACUUUUGCUAUCAGGGUAUUUUUAAGAUAUAAAACCAUUUCAUGCAUCACAUUUUGUAGUAUGUGAAAUCUGCUGAAUGAAAACAUAGUUAUAAAUACAUAUGAUUGAUUUAAUAACAUGUUAUUUUCUACCUGUAUCCCCNCCCCCCCCCCCCAAUUAAAGCAUUUAAAAUCAUUUAAAACAUUGAUUAAGGGGUAUGAACUCACCUGUAGAUGGUGGUUUGAAUGUACUGAAUGAUGUAGGGUAACUAGGUGACAAGUGAAGACUUGUUCACACUCAAUGAUCCUAGUUAACAUAUAAUCACACAUAUAUAUAUCCAAUUAGACUUUAAACCACUAAUUGACAAAGUUAAGACAUCCUAAGGCAUGUAAAACACCUUAUUUUGGUGCUCCAAGUCAUAAGGAUUGCAUCUAAGUGCUAAAGGACCUUUCUAUAGUGAUUGGGGUUCAAGGGUAAACUCCCUUGGAGUUUACGGUUUUCAUGACUUUGACCUAAUGAGUUUACGGUCGUAAACUCCUCUCUUUUUGACCACAAGUUGGUUUGAGGUUUUUCAAGUCCCUUGAAGCAUUUCUACUUGGUGGUUUGGCAUUUGGAAGAGAUUAGGGCAUCAUUAAACUCCUUUGAGGAGUUUAUGGUCUGAUGGUCAUUUCUCUUUGGGUUUACUACCUUAAACUCAUGAGUUUACAACCUUAAACUCAUGAGUUUACUACCUUAAACUCAUGAGUUUAUGGUAGUAAACUCAUGAGUUUACUACCAUAAACUCAUAAGUUUGUUAUGUGGGGGUUUUCAAGUCCUUAGCUCAAUCAUGGCAAUAGUCAAGGUUAGAUUUAGACAUAAGGAAUAACCAUUGGACUUUUAUGGGACUUUUAUGCACUUUUUGGGGUGUUUACGGUUUUGGGAGAUCCCAAACUGUAAACACAUAAAAAUGGAAGUAUUUGGUGCUUUAUGUGUCAUAAACUCAUCAAGGAUGAAGCUAGACAAGUCCCUAAGGCAUGGUGAAGCAUCUAGGCACCUUAAGGCACUAUUUUGCACCAUAAAUGGUGUUUACGGUUUUGGGAGCCUCCCAAAACCGUGAACACCUUUAUCUUUGUGUUCUUGGGACUUUUCUUUGAUGUUAAUAUGCAAUACAAGCUUAAGAAGACUCACGGAUGGAAGUACUUACUAUAAGGAAGCUUGGAUUUAGCUAAAAGUCCAAGAACACUUAGUGUGUGUUCUUCGUGUUUUUGAAAAUCUAAUUGAAACACAAAAAUGAAUGGAUGAAUAGAUGCACAAACACUAGAUUAAAUGUUUAAUCACUUGAGAUGGAUAGAACACUUACAACUUGGAAUAUCUUGAAUUGUUUCUAGUUUGCUACUUGAGAGGUUUUCUUGAGUUUACUCUUUUGGGGAGUGUGACAACCCGAAGUUCGUUCCAUCGCCGUAACCCGUUUCCAUGCAUAAAAUUCAUCUUUUUCGAAUCAUUUCCGUUUACAUUUUUUAAAUUAAGUCAUUUAUUUCGAGACUUCUAUUAUGACUUAAUUAGUAUCCAAACCCAUUAGAAACUCAAGAAAACACCUCAAUCUAAUAAUUAGAAAAAUUUUAGUUUCAACCAUAUCGGGUUACGACAACUUAAUCGGGUGCGACCAAAAGCCUCGCUUAACAUCAGUAUCGGGUAGAAUUCUACCUUGUCCCAAACUUUAACCAUAUAUAAAGUUGAUUAAGUCUCAUUUGAAGCUUUUUCACUCUCUCUCUAACCUCUCUCCUCAAAUCCAAACUCUAAGUCCAAAAUCAUCAAAUUAAGGCUCCAAAUCAUCAAGGUAACUAUCCUAGCUCCUAGUAUAAGAUCUUAGGCCUUCAAAUUCAUGGUCAAACUGUGGAAUAGGACCAUUAUAUUGGUCCAUAUAUUGGUUUAAGCCAUUCCUUUACCCUAGAAUGGAUCCUAGCUAAUUUCCCCAAGUGAUAUUUGACCAUUUAGCACCAUAAAACCCUUCAUCCAUGAGUUCAUGGCCGUGAACUCAUGUGGAGUUGGUCUUAGGGCCGAAAACUCCAUAAGGAAGUCGCUCCAAACACUUAACUUGAAGUGUUUUCGCGUCUUGGAGUGUAUAAUUAUAUCUAAUUAGUGAUUUAAAGUCUAAUUAGAUACAUUUGUAUAUCCUUUCACAUUACAUAGAAACCUCACACGUUAUCAAGCCCCGAUCUGACGUUUAGCACCCAAACCGACACGCUUCUCGACCGAUGAGUUCAUACCCCUACCCUUUUUCAAAUGUUUUUCAGGGGGGGAAUACAAGCAAAAGUACAAGGAAAUCUUGUACAAAUUUAUUAUUUCAGUUCAAAUGUUUAUAUUCUGUAUGUUUUUAAUAUCGAAAGCUAUGUUAAUUCGAAUUGCAGAGUUAGCUUUCAGACUAAUCAUAGAUUUCUUGAUAAAGUGUUAUAAUCUAUGUUAUAUUUCAUAAUUUACAAAUAAUUCAUACUAAUCAUAAAUUAGAACUAAUACGAAUAUGAAUGUACAACUAGGAGCAGAAUGAAUACGAAAGUACAACUAGGACCAGAACGAAUACGAAAGUACAACUAGGAACAAGGCGAAUACGAAAAUAUAGCUAAGAACAUAACAAAUACCAAACUAAUAAUACGGAUACGAAUAGGAAAGUACAGCUAGGAACAGACCGAAUACAAAAGUAUAACUAGGAUCAGAACAAAUAUGAAGGUAUUGUUAGAAACAAUAUGAAUGCGAAUGCGAAUGCAAAUACGAAUAGGAAUAGAAAUAGGAAUAGGAAUAGGAAUGUGAAUGUGAAUAGGAAUGCGAAUGCGAAUGAGAAUACGAAUGCGAAUGCGAAUGCGAAUACGAAUAGGAAUAGAAAUAGGAAUAGGAAUAGGAAUGUGAAUGCGAAUGCGAAUGCGAAUACGAAUGCGAAUGCGAAUGCGAAUACAAAUACGAAUAGGAAUAAGAUUACGAAUACGAAAGCACGCCCUUGGAUAUAAUCGAAUGUAAGACAACUGGAAUAAGCAAAUUUUUCUUAACUAGACUGUGCAACUCAUGGAUAACUAAACUUGACUUUAGGAAAAUAAGGGUUUUUCCUGGGAUAACAACUGUACAUAAUCAAACCGGGUAAUAAACGAAUAACUCAACUAAACUUAUAAGAAAAUAUGGGAUUUUCUUGGAUAAAAAACUUUCUCGGAAAACCGAAGGAAACUUGUACAUUUUCAAAAAACAAACCUCUUAUGAACUCACCAGCUUUAUGCUGAUUUUCAAACUGCUUGUAUUCUCACGUCCAUAUUAGACAGGUACAUCGCAAUCUUUUGGAGAGGACGGAGCGUAUAUAAGACUUGUCUUAACUUUUGUUCAUAUGAUAUAUAUAUAUAUAUAUAUAUAUAUAUAUAUAUAUAUAUAUAUAUGUGUAAUGUUUUGUGUUUACUAUGCCAACUAUGUACAUUGGUUGCGAUAUACAUGAUGUCCUCCGCCCUGGAACAUUUCCGCCUUAGGUUUCGGGGUGUGACAGGGAGUAAACGCAUUAUAACUAGACUUACGGAGUAAACUCAUGGAUAAGCGUGAGUUUACGGAUUUUGGGAUGAAUUUUCGACCCAAACGAAAUAUUUUGGCCGGGAACUUCUAAGACGCAAGGUGUUUGUGGUUUUUAAAACUCAAAACCCAAGACGACACUUUUUUUCACCCGUUCGUUUAAAAAUAAUAUUAAAAUAAUCAAACGAACUUUAUUUUUCCCAAAAACAAGUAAAAGUGAACUUGACUUAUAAUAAGAAGUGAUUGACUUCUAGGGUUGACCGAAUGAAAAUUCCGGGUUGUCACAUCAUCCCCCCGUUAAAGGGAAUUUCGUCCUGAAAUUAAGGUCUAAGCAAAUAAGGUAUUUACAGGUAACUAAGGAAAAAAAUGUGGAUAUUUCCGUUUCAUCUGAUCCUCUCGUUCCCAAGUGAAUUCAGGUCCCCGUUUUGCGUUCCAACGAACCUUCACUAUCGGGAUACGGCUUUGGUUCGUCCGCUUGACCUCUCGGUCGAGGGUCACUACGGUUUUUAAAUACGAAGGCGAGGAUCUCGAUAAUCUCGAUCUCGUCGAGUGGCUUACGAGAGUCCUAAUGGAAAGGUACGUUUUCAAGAUCGAGACUCGAAGAGUAAAAAUGUAUGUUACUGAGUUCGCAGAGUACGUAUAGUUUGUGAGAUACAAGACCGAUUCUGGUAAGAAUCUCAGAGGUCCUUACUAUAUUGGAUUUAACUUUCCACGCUUUACGAAGCGUAUCAAGCCAUUCCCAGAGUGAGAUUUCCGAAAAAAUUUGGUCUCUCACUUGGAAUUCCAAUGGUUCUUUCUCUUGCUUAACUUCCCAGUCAAGGGACACCCCUUGCCGGGUCAAAGUCGAAAGGGUUUCUGUGAUUUGUGAGGAGUUCCGAAUGGACUACGAUAGUAGGUCUGCACGACCUAAAAUUUAGCGAAUUUCUGCCGGCGCCUCUGGUGUUGACAAAUUCUCAACGGUUUUGACAAAUUGAAAGAGUACUCAAAAAUUCCCACAAUACUAACGGUGUGUCUUAGGAAUCUGACUCUUCAGUUUCAAAACUCGUGUUUAGAGAACUUCGCGAAAGUUCCUCUGAAGGUAAAGUUUCCAUGGGUUCUUUCUUACUACGAGGGUAGAUAAGUAAGUCAUUACAUGGACAAAUGACGAACUGAUCCCAGUAAGAAAGGCGUACCCUAUUCAUUUAGCUCAUGAAUACUAUGGGCGUAUUGGUCCUAUCCGAGGGGUAUCACUACGGACUCGAAGUGUUCGCAUCGAGUUCAGAGGGUAGUCUUCAGGACAUCAUUCCCUAACACUCGAACUGGUGAUAUUCAGAUCUCAGGUCCAUUUCUGAAAGCAAUUCUUUCCCUGCGUUUGCUCAAUCAACUCAUCUAUGCGAGGCAGAGAUAAUGAUUUCUAAAGGAAAUCUAAAUGGAGUCCCCGAUCGUCGAGGUACAUAUGAUGCAAUCCGUCGACUUCUGGAAGAAUAAGACCGGAGUUCUCAAGGGUGAGAAGCCUGGUCUUCCAAUUCUAUUGUUGAGUAAUUUGUUGAGUCGUCCGGGCUAUUCUAGUAUCUCCAUAGAUGUUUAGACUGUAAGGCGAUCUAGUUAUAAGAGUCAUACUGGGUUCUAAGUUUGUUCACAUGCCAAUGCACUUACUCAUAGUCUUAGGCAGUCUCUUUCCUGAAGUUCAUAUUAGAAUUCAUACGUGGUUCAUCGAUCACAAUCUCGUGUAUACGAGUCGUAUAUAAUUAAGAUUGAAAAGGUAGUCGAAAAAGUGAUCCUUCCUUAAGCUCACAUCCCAUCGAGGGAAAAGAAGUUAAAGUGGAAUCAUCAAUUCUAAACCUGUAUAACAUCGAUUAUAUAUCACUCUCAUGUUUACAUUCUUUAGUGAUAGAUCAACCGUAUGAAUCUUUGGAUUGAACUUGACAUACUGCACGAGUGAUACUGCGAGGAUUCCUUCGGAAAGGAAAAGAGCUAUGUGGUACUCCAUGCAUGAGUACUUCGGUGUUCUGAUAUGACAGCUUCGUUAAAAGACGUUUACUGAGAAAGAUGUAUACUUAUGAAGCUGAUAUUGCGAGGAUCGAAUUUACUCGAGUCGUUUGAUAAAUUCGGAAUCAUAUGGAAGCUAAAGACAUUAGAUUGAACAUAAGGGGUUAUAGACAAAACACUACAGUGCAACCUUUAAAAGAGUUGCUGAACUUUUAGAUUUACUACAAGACUAUUGUUGCGAACAAGGUAUACUACAAAAGACAAGUGUAUGCAGCAGGAGCAUCCCUAAACGGAUGGGAUCUCACAAAACAUAAGACUCUGGUUGCAUUAGUUUUGGACAGUUUAUAAGUCUGUUACAAUGAAACGCCUUAAUUACAUUAACGUGGAUCCAGAGUAGUCUCUCUUGCGGCGGUGGUGGGUAGCAUACUUCCGUCUGUGCCAGCAUUUGCUGCCUCAGGGCAGUUCCUUCCGUAGUGACCUACCAUGCCACAACCGUAGCAAGCCUGGUUUACACUGGUGUUGGGCACUUGGUUGUUCGGCCUUGUUAGGCUCUUGCAGUAAUGCUUCGUGUGCCCCUUUCUGUUGCAGUUUGAGCACUGCAUCUCCCUACAAAGUCCAUGGUGGUGAUAACUACAUUGGAUGCAUUUUGGUAGAUUCCCAGCAUAUUGUCUGGCUGGGUUAGGGACAAUUGGGAUACCCAAUGGGAUGGUAGUUUGAGGUACAGAUGUUGUGGCUGUGAAAGUCGUUACCGAUAGUUGUUUCUGGUUUGCCCUUCGAAGCGAUUUGUCCUUAGAUUUAGCCCAAGUCUUCCAUUUGUUAAACUUGGUCUUGGGACUCGGGGUGUCGUGGAAGUUUGCUGUUGGUUGAGGUGCUUGAUUGUUACUUGGAUUGAAAUCUCUAUUAACAAUCCCGCUAACAUUUACAUUGUUAGCGUUAAGGUGGGUCAGAAUAGCUGACACGGCAACCGAGACUGCAGCUUGAAAGGUAGCUGCAUCAAUCUAAAGAGUUGGUGUUUAGUUGAUGGGUUGAUCGUUUUUCUUUGGCGACAUGACUCUGUUACACGGAAAGAAAAUGAAUUUGUGAGCGAGAAUGGUUGAACCUAGACAUAGUUUGAUCGCUCAUGUAAAGUAUAGAAGUAUGUUCUCUAAGGUUCGACCUACAUCCCUAUGAUGCAGUCCUAGUACGGAAUGGAAGUAUCUUCAUGAAGGUUUGACCUACAUCCCUAUGAUGCAGUCCUAGAAAAGAUUGGAAGUAAGUUCGUAUAAUGGUUUUAAGAUGUUUGUUGUUCUAGCCGAGGUAUCGUUGGUUGGUGAAUAACAUCAUCCAACCAUUAAAAGAGACUUGGAGAUAUCUCCGGAGUUAAAUUGCUAUAGUCCAAUGACUUGACUAAAGCAUGUUUCAGAUAGACUCUAAUGAAAGUAUGAUGAGAGUAUUUGAAUAAAGAAUGACACAAAAGUUAUCCGACUUUCAAUAUCUUUGACACUCAUGACGUACAUGUUCGGGAAAAUGACCUUGUAAUAAGGUCUUACAUCAUAUCCACAGAAGAUAGUUCUUGACCUCAUAAGGACCUAACCAUAAGUACCUACAGUACAAGAUAGUUUCAUAGAAAAUGCCACAUCGGGCGUAGACAGAAACACGAUUCCUUUAUAACAAGGAAAAUAAAGUAAAGCAUCUACUACUGGCGACGGUCAUCCCUUUGGUGAACUCUCAGUUCAGCCAGUUGGCGUUCCACAUCAAGUAGGUGUCUUUCGUACACCCUCUGGCGUACUCGAAGUUCUAUGACUUCGACUUGUGAUUCAGCUAGUGCUUGCCGCAGGGUUUCAUGGUUUCUCUCAGAUCUCUCACGAGCAUCUUCUAGACGAAUGGUACGGAGGGUACGCAUUCUCGCAUCGGCGACUACUUCAGUGAUCUGAUGUAGGGUUGUCCUGCCUUGAAUCUCAUUUCAGGUCACUCUGCAGACCAAGAUUGGCAAGAUUCUGUCUGCUCAGCCCCCAUUGCUCAGGUCAUAGAAGCUUCGGUCACCAUUAAAUGGCAUGGGCUGGUCUUAUCCUUGGCUCCAUGUUUCCAAACAUUCCGCCCACUCAGGCAUCGGGCCAUGAAAAGUCGGACGAGUUGUCUGGGGUAGGUUCUCAACCUCGGGUUUGGAGUUAGCACCAUCCGAAAGGUCUUCGUCAUGGUGAUCAUCCAAAAGGAUAGGAUGAUCAUUCUCUGGUUCUUGUUCAAACCAUCCAGCAAUGACCUCGUUCAGAAGGUAUGGGUUGCCGUGGGGAUGGAGUAUAGCCAUGUUAUCUACGCGAGAAUUUGGGUAAGGAAACAAUUAUUAGACGAACUAUAUAGAUAAUUAUUAGAAAAACUUCAUUAGUUAUGUCACUAUUUGUAAAGUGCAUAACAGUCAUAUGUAAUCAAAACAGGAUAGGCCAUCGAAUAAGUGACCUUAACUCCAUAUUCACAAGGAAUAGGGGUAAAGCAAAACAUUCACCGAUUCUAAGUCUAUAACAUCCUAGUUACAUAUAGCUUUAUUGUAUCCACUUAGCAACUAUCAACUUAGUAAUGAAGACCCUUUUUAGUUCUCAAGUAAGUACUUAUAGUAACACGAAACACCUCUAUGGUAUUUUAGACUAGGUUCUGCUAUAAUAUUUCAUUGUGGUAAUGUUGGUAAGUUUUUAGACUUGUUGCCAUAUCACAACCAUUUUUGGGCAUGUGCUAAUCACUCCUCAGAACAACAUAGUUGAUCAGGCUAUGCCACUCCCAAGACUGACCAUACAUCCCCGAGCUUACCUGUGAUAUUCAACAAUCGUAAUACUUUCAUUCUUGUCAUUGUGACAUGGAUUUUAGUACGAAUGCAGGCACGUAUACUAAAUUAAAUAAUUUAUUAUUUAAAAGUAUAACUCUUAGAAAGAGGGUUUUAAUCCCAUUGUAUUUAUAAUUAGUAUAUCUUUUAUGGUUUUAUAUACUUAUUUCACUAUAAACAGUGCUCUGAUACCAAUCUAUCACACCCCAAAACCAAGAACGGCGGAAACGUUCUGACGUGGAGGACGUCAUGUGUAGUAUCAUAACAGUGUAAAGUAGUAAAGAAGCAACAACAUCAUCCAUUGCAUUAAAAGUAAAGUUUUAAUACAUGUGUGUUCUUUCAUAAUGUACAAUAAUAAAGUGAAUAAUCAAAAUAUGACGAGUCUUGUCUGUGCUCCGUCUUCUCAAAACUUGGCCAUCGUACCUGUCUAACCGGUGACCUGAGAAUACAAGUUAUUUUGAAAGCGAGUAUUAGCCUAAAGCUGGUGAAUUCAUAAGUAUUUAAGAGUCUUUGUCUUGUUUUGGAAAGCUGUUAUGAAUGCCAUGUAAAUAUUUAAAUGAAACAGUUGAUAUAAAUAUGAAAAACCCUCGAAAAUCCCAUGUUUCCUACUAGUAUUAAAUGUACUCUUCUACCAAGACCCAAAUGUUUUGUUAUGAAAAUGAUAGUUUUUCCUUCUUUUUAACUAUUACAAAUAGUGCUCAGUCUAACUCAUCGUUUAUGUGAAUGUAUCACAAAAUAGAGUAAAUAGGAAAAGAAUAAUAGUCUUCUACCAAGACCCGAAUGUUUUUCUAUGAUAAUGAUAAUUUUUCCUUCUUUUUGACUAUUACAAUAGUACAUAGUCUAACUCAUCGUUUAUGUGAAUGUGUCACAAAAUAAGGUAAUUGGAAAAAUAUAAUCAUGUAAGUGUUAUCCUUUUGUAUUAGGAUUAACACGACAUCGCGAUUUGCAAAAUGUAUAACCUUUGAACAUCCGUAGAUUGUUUAAUUGUCCUCUGUAGCUACAGCAGGGGGGAGGAAGGGUUAGCCCCGUAAUCGAUUUCGUAAUAUAAUUAUUAACUGUGGGCAUCCGUAGAUGUUCAUCAGCCUCUGUAGCAAACAGGUUGCCCAAGGAAUGGUUAGUCCCGUAAACGUAUUCUAAUAUAAGAAUCAACCGUAGGCAUCCGUAGAUGUUGAUCAACCACUGGUGCUAACAGCUGGGCUUCGGAAUGGUUCGUCCCGUCUAAAUAUCCCAUUGAACUGGGAUAGGCAGGACAAUUUACAUAGAAGGUACUAAUAAAUCAUCCUAAUGAAUCGAGGUACAUGUAUCCAUGUAAAUGUAUACAGGAAAAUGUAUCUACGUAAAGGUACUCAUGUAUGGUCUUCAUGUAAGUGUAUUCAUGUAAGGUACUCAUGUAACAUAUUCAUGUAAGGUACUCAGGUAAUGUAUUCAUGUAAGCUACUUAUGUAAUGUAUUCUUGUAAGGUACUCAUGUAAUGUAUUCAUGUAAGCUACUCAUGUAAUGUAUUCAUGUAAGGUACUCAUGUAAUGUAUAGUGUAGACUCAUGAAUGAACUGACUCUGAUGUAAUUCCUUGUAAUACGAAUAAUGUUAUGUAUCUCCUAACUAUCCCUAUAAUAGUUAACUGGAAGGUAAUUGAUUGUCCAAACAGGUUUAUAAACCCUUUCUAGACAAGAGUGUGGGAAACUGAAUGAAGGAUGAAAACUAUAACAAUAACACAUAUAAAAGAACAUAAGUGUAUAGAUAUAGUUUUAUUCAAGAAGGUAAAAAUGGUUUUGUAAGACAUCUAAGAGUUUUGAACAAUAAUUAACAAUGACUUGAUGUCAUUUUAAUAAACAUUUCAAACGUAAUACUUUUGCUAUCAGGGUGUUUUUAAGAUAUAAAACCAUUUCAUGAAUCACAUUUUGUAGUAUGUGAAAUAUGCUGAAUGAAAACACAAUUAUAAAUACAUAUGAUUGAUUUAAUAACAUGUUUUUUCUACCUAUAUUCCCCCCCCCNUUAAAGAAUUUAUAAUCAUUUAAAACAUUGAUUAAGGGGUAUGAACUCACCUGUAGAUGGUGGUUUGGAUGUACUGAAUGAUGUAGGGUAGCUAGGUGACAUGUGAAGACUUGUUCACACUCAAUGAUCCUAGUUAACAUAUAAUCACACAUAUAUGUAUCCAAUUAGACUUUAAAUCACUAAUUGACAAAGUUAAGACAUCCUAAGGCAUGUAAAACACUUAUUUAGGUGCUACAAGUCAUAAGGAUUGCAUCUAAGUGCUAAAGGACCUUGCUAUAGUGUUUGGGGUUCAAGGGUAAACUCCCUUGGAGUUUACGUAUUUCAUGACUUUGACCUAAUGAGUUUACGGUCGUAAACUCAAGAGUUUAUGGUCUUAAACUCCUCUCUUUUUGACCAUAAGUUGGUUUGAGGUUUUGCAAUUCCUUUGAAGCAUUUCUACUUGGUGGUUCGGCCUUUGGAAGAGAUUAGGGCAUCAUUACACUCGUUUGAGGAGUUUACGGUCUCAUGGUCAUUUCUCUUUGGGUUUACUAACUUAUACUCAUGAGUUUACUACCUGAAACUCAUAAGUUUGGUAUUUGGGGGUUUUCAAGUCCUUAGCUCAAUCAUGGCAAUAGUUUAGGUUAAAUAUAGACAUUAGGAAUAACCGUUGGACUUUUAUGGGACUUUUAUGCACUUUUUGGGGUGUUUACGAUUUUGGGAGAUCCCCAAGUAUUCGGUGCAUUAUAUGUGAUAAACUCAUCAAGGAUGAAGCUAGACACGUCCCUAAGGCAUGGUGAAGCAUCUAGGCACCUUAAGGCACUUCUUUGCACCAUAAAUGGUGUUUACGGUUUUGGGAUCCUUCCAAAACUGUGAACACCUUUAUCUUUGUGUUCUUGGGACUUUUCUCUGAUGUUAAUAUGCAAUACAAGCUUAUGAAGACUCACGGAUGGAAGUACUUACUAUAAGAAAGCUUGGAUUUAGCUAAAAGUCCAAGAACACAUAGUGUGUGUUCUUGGUGAUCUUGGUGUUUUUGAAAAUCUAAUCAAAACACAAAAAUGAAUGGAUGAAUAGAUGCACAGACACUAGAUUAAGUGUUUAAUCAACUUGAAAUGGAUAAAACACUUACAACUUGGAAGAUCUUGAAUUGUUUCUAGUUUGCUACUUGAGAGGUUUUCUUGAGUUUACUCUUUUGGAGUUUACUCUUUUGGGGAGUAAACACAUUAUAACUAGACUUAGGGUUUAAACUCAUGGAUAAGCAUGAGUUUACGGGUUUUGGGAUGAUUUUUCGACCCAAACGAAAUAGUUUGGCCGGGAACUUCUAAGACGCGAGGUGUGUGCGGUUUUUAAAGUUCAAAACCCGAGACGACACUUUCUUUCACCCAUUCGUUUAAAAAUAAUAUUAAAAUAAUCAAACAAACUUUAUUUUUCCCAAAAACAAGUAAAAGUGAACUUGACUUAUAAUAAGAGGUGAUUGACUUCUAGGGUUUGACCGAAUGAAAAUUUCGGGUUGUCACAGUAUGUUACGGUAAUCCUAUUAUUGGUGGAAAAACAUAAACCCUAAGUUCACAUAUACCCUAAAGGAUCUAUGUUCUCACUAUCAUAUGCAAAGAACAAUUUGAAUUUGAGAACCCUAAAGUACAUUGCUAUUUUCGAUUUAGGAGUAGGGAUAAUAGAAAACAUGCCUUUUAGUUUAUUAAUGUAAACAAACUAAAAAUCCUUCUUUGUAGAAAUUUAGAAAGCCAGCACUAGAAAUCUAGUGCCUCUGAUGGCUGACAUCCAGACCCUCGUAGAUGGCAGAUAUUGAAGAAAGAGGAGUAGAAGGUAUGAUUUUUGGCUCUAAGUGUUGUUUGAAAGGUGACUUCCAAAAAUCCUAAGUCAUUGGGGGUAUUUAUAGGGCUUAAGGAGGUGUAUAAAAGACAGGUUCCAUUUUAGAUAACUUUAACUUUUUUCUUUCCCCCCAAGCAAUCCUAAGCUUCCUAGAAGCUCUAGAAAUUCUCUAUAAAACCCCUCUAGAACUAUCCCCUCUCUUAGGGAGGUUCUAGAAUUAGUCAAUGUUCAACUUUUAGACAUUGAUACUUUUAGUCCUUCUACUUUUAAUUAAUCCAAUUAAUCCAAAAAUUAAUUCUAAUUAAUUUCUGAUUAUUUCCUAAUUAAAUAAUAAAAUCCCUGUAUAAUUUUUGUUUCUCAAAACAUAUUAAUAUUUUAUUUAUUUUUGAUUUCUAUUAAUUAAUCAUAUAAUAAAUUAAUAAAACAUUCAUUCUCUCCAAAAAACAUUCUAGUCAACUACUAGGUUUUAGGACAACCCAAAUGGAUUUUGCUAAUAAUUUAAGUUUAUAAUAAUUUAGUUAAUGUCUUAGACACCUAAUCCAACAAUAACUUCUUAAUAUGAAUUUUUAGUUUUUCAGAUGCAUUAACUAGGGUUGCAGUUUGAGGUGUUUGAUUCGUUUAUCAGUUUACACAUUUGGAAGAAAGAUAUUAUCUGGUAUCUUGUAAUAGUUGAAAUGAACUCAUUUUUUUACAUUAGAUGCUCUAAAAUCAAUGAGUCAAAUUACAAAGAGAUUUACUAUGAAUUGACUGUUCACAAUUUUUUUACCUAAAUUAUUGGAUGUCAUAAGUGUGGACUCUCUUCCCUCCUCCUCAAGAUCACCCUAUAUUUGGAACUCGAUGUAUUUUCCGAAACAAGUUCGGCGAUGUUGGAGUUAUCAUUUGCAGCAAGGCAAGGUUGUUGGCUAAAGAAUUUACUCAGAUCGAGGGUCUUGAUUAUGAUGAGACCUUUGCUCCUGUUACCCGUCUUGAAGCUAUCCGAAUCUUUCUCGCUUAUGUUACUCAUACGGCCUUCAAAGCUUACCGAAUGGACAUCAAGAGUGCAUGUCUCAAUGGUGAAAUAGAUAGUCAAGUCUAUCUCUAACAACCUCCUGGGAUUGUAAUGAUUUUCAAUCUGAAUUGUUCAUAUAAACUUUAGAUUGAUGUGUAUGGCCUCAAAAAAGCUCCACGUGUAUGGUACGACAUGAUCACUUUUUUUUCUCUAGCGUUCAAGUUUUCAAAAAUGGAAUUUUCGAUCCAAUGUUAUUUCAAAGAUCAAAUAGAAAACAUCUUAUGUUAGUGCAAAUGUAUGUCGAUGACAUAAUCUUUGGUUUAACCGAUCCAAUGAUGGUUGCUGACUUUGCCAAAUUGAUGGUUAGUAGAUUUCAAAUGAGUAUGAAUUGCAAAUUAAGUUUAUUCCUUGGUUUUCAAGAUAAGCGGACCAAUAGAGGAGUCUUUAUUCAUCAAUAAAAUUACAUCUCUGACAUUUUGAAGAAAUAUUCCAUUGAAACUUUUGCAUCUGCAAUGGUUCCAAUGAUUUUCGGACACAUGAUCUUCUCUGAACCAUCUAGUGAAGCCGUAGAUCAAAAGAAGUAUAGGGAAUGAUUCACUACCUUACAACAACUCAUCCUGACAUCAUGUUCGCAACAUGUUUGUGUGUCCAAUUUCAAGUUAAUGCUAAGGUGUCACAUCUCUUAGCCGUAAAGUAAAUCUUUAGAUAUCACAAAUGGACUAAGGAUCUCAGAAUUUUGUACCCAACACAUGAAAGUUUUCUCCUGCUAGGUUAUUCAGACAUCAAUUGUGGUGGACUUCAAUUAGAUCGGAAAAGCACAUCUGGUGGUUAUCAAUUUUUAGGUGGAAGAUUGGUUAGCUGGUCAUCCCAGAAACAGAACUACAUAGCUCUCUCUAUAUCCAAAGUAGAAUACAUUCUACUGCAAGUUGUACCUCUCAAAUUCUGUGGAUGCAGUCUCAACUUUUGGACAAUGAUUACCGUUUUAAACAAAUUCCUAUAUACUAUGAUUUUUAAAGUCAGAUUCCGAUUUCUCAUAAUCCAAUUUAUAACUCCUUGACCAAGCACAUUGAUGUUCAGUACCAUUUUAUAAAAUAUAAUGUUCUCCAAGGUAACAUCGAACUCAUUUUUGUUUCAUCGAAGAUAAAGUUGCUGAUGACAUUACUAAGACAUUAGACGAAACCAAGUUCAAUGGUUUUCUAAACAAAAUGGGAAUAAUGAUGCCUGAUCCUCAACACUUUCAAGAACUUUUUAGUCUCUGAUGGAAAAAAAACAAAAUCAAAAAUUCCGAACCAAAAUUAUUUUUUACCUCAAAUUUUUUUUUCUUCUUGAAAAUUGAAGGAUCAUUUAAUGUCUUUUUGUCUAACCUUUCUUUUAGUUUUGUUUUUUAGGUUGAUUGUUUAGUUUUUGCUUAACAGUUUGUUGUGAUGGAUUGUAAUUUGUUGCGAUCUUUCGCAAGCCAUCACAAUGAUUCAAGUCAAAACACCCUAUUGUGAUCCAUUGUGAUCCGUUGCAAUCGAUUGCAAUACAUCGCAAGUUAAAAAUUGACAAAUUGUUGUUAGUGGGAUCACUCAACAUUUCACACUCGUAACGAGAGGGAGCACUCGAAAUUUCAAACUUGAAAUGAGUGGGAGCACUAGUGUUGAUAUAUCAAUAGCAAAAGACUGUUUAUCGCUGAACAUGGAUUAUGAAAUCCGUAUCUGACUCAUUCAGAAGUUGGUGUUCACGUUCAUAGAUUCACAACCCUUCUUCUUUGUAAGUCUUGCUAGACCAUUAAGAGAUUUGAUGGUGAAUUCACUGUUCAUCAUUCGUCAUGGAUUACGAAAUUCGCAUAUGUCUGGUUCAUAUAUUCACAACCAUUCAUUUUUGCAAGUCUCGCUGAACCAUUAAGGGCGUGUGACUUAUUAGAUCUUUGUUAUUUAAUGGUGAUCCAUUUUGAUUUUUCAUAACCUGUCAUAUUCCUCCUGUUUCCAGAUCAGUUGCUUCUCGUUGCGACUAACUACGAUCCAUUGCGAUCCUUAUCAAUCUAUCAUAACCCUGUUUUCUCACAAUACCAUUGAAAUUCAUUGCGAUCCUCAUCAAGUGCUCCAAUAGAUCCUAUUUAACUACAAUUAAUCAAACCCAGUUGAAAAUGUUCACUUAAUUACAAGCAACAUCGAUCAUGAAAAGCUUUUUCGAGAUUCAUAUUUGAGUUCAUGUUACCUCAUGCAUUGCAAUCUAUAAAGAGAAUUCAUUUUCUAAUAAUUCAAAUUUGAGUUGUUAAUGUAACUUUGUUUCUUUUGCUUUCUGAGUUCUAAUCCUUUAGAUCUCCAAAUUUCAAACCCUUUUUCAAAAAUGACUAAGAUCUUUCAUGCAACUUUUAUCUCUAAUAUCCAUUCCUAAAGUUGUGCCACUUCUUGAAUCCAUAUCAAAUAUGAGUGGGUGUUUUCCAAUUCUUAAAUGAAGUAUCUUGUCAUGUUAUAUCAGAGUUUUAUAAUUCUGAGAUACCCUUUAUAAAAAGUUAGCUUGGAAUAUUUUAUUUUUCUUAGACACACACAAUGAGUGCGAUUUUGAAGAAAAUUGCUUAACCAUUCACUUAUAAACUUUUCAACGGUUACUUUUUCUUGAAUCCCAUUUGGCAUAAUUUUCAAUAAAAAAUAGGUUUUUGUUCAAAAAACCAAACCGACGGUUCACUUCAUGUCCAAUCACAUGUCUUGUCUCGUUUUUCUAGCUGACACAUAAGGAGGCUCUUCAUAGCCUUUUCUUUUAAUGUAAAGUCGUUUUUGUUUUGGGUGCCAUCAUUGCACUCUUCGACCCAACUCGAAACAUCCCCAUAUAUAAGCAUUUUUGAAUCCUACCAUUAUCCCUUUACACAUUUAUCUAUAUUCUUCUAUGUUCUUUAUGUUCUUUGAGCAUUCGUCAAUGGCUGUAAACAUUUCCCAAACCUCUUCUAAGAUCAAAACUUCCUAAGGAUUUGCAUCAUCGUCUUCGAUGGAACCCAUUCUAAGAGAUUCUACACAACCUUUUUAACUCAAUCCUUAUGAUUAAGAUGAAUCUAUUUGAGUAAUGGUUGAGUUUAUCUCUCAUCAUCCCAUCUCCAUCCCUCUCACAAAAAUCACUAACCCUAGUUUCCCACUUUGGUUAAUUUUUGAAGCCAUUGAGAGUAUGAAGUUCGAUGGAGGUAUCCUUCAAAGAUAAAUUUAUAAAGAUAUCUUUGUUCUUUUCAUCAUGAUAUAGGUGAAGGAUUUUAAGAAUUCUAACACUCCAAAGGUGUACAUGCAACCCUAGAAACCUUGGAUCUAUGUGUUACUAUGAUACAUGCAAAUUGUUUUUCCAAGGUUCUUAACCUAAUUAGCAUGGCAUGGGGAAGUUUUAAAGCAUAAUAAACUAGUAGAGUUACAUACCUUUUAGUAGAGGUUGAUUGCUUGGAGUUUUUGAGCCUAGCACCAAUAAUGUGGAUGCCUAAAAUGGAACUCACAAAUCACCACAAACCUUGGAUACUUGAGAGAAUAAUUUCACUCUUCUUGAAUCGAUCCUCUUAGUUCUCACACAAAACACUAGUUUGAUUUCAAUUGUCAAGGACUCCUUUAUAUAGUGUGGUGGAUUAGGGUUAUAUCCAUGUAAACCCUAAUACCCAUGACUUUUUAUUUCCAUGAGAUCCAUGGGUUAAUGCUCCUUGGACUAUCCAUGGCCUUACUAUGUAAGACUAGCCCAUUCUAAAUAAGCAUUAGCCCACACUAUAUAAAUACAAGAGUCCAUAUUUAAUUAGUCACACUUUUGAUCACAAAAUUAAUUCGAAAUUAAUUUUAGAUCAAUAAUAAUUAAAUAAUAUGAUUUCUUAUUAAUACAUUACAACUUAUAAUAUAUUAAUAAAUCAUAACUUAUACUAUUCUCAAAAGAUUAUUCAUAUAAAUUGUUCGGGUGAAGUGCAACCCAAAUGGACCAUGUCGGGUCAGGUCACGUACAUCUCAAAUAUAGUUGUGGACUUAGACACCUUAUCUAACAGUCUAGCACUUGGAUAAGUCUAAUAACUAUAGUUGCAAUUAUGAAUUUAGGAAUCGACCGACAACCGUAGCUCUUAAAACUGUGUUGAACUAUGAAGCGCCAUUAUAGAUAAGGGAUCAUAUAAUCCUCUGUUCUAGAUAUCAGCUGGAAAAAUACAUGGAAUAAUGUCUUAAUUAUUGUCCAACAUUUUGUUUCUCGAUUUCUGAUUUGUUUGACAUAGAACUUAAUUGAACACAUCAACUUAGUUUUGACUCGGCCCGAUACAUGGGUCAACACAAAAUCAUCGAGGGGCCCAAAUAUCGCUUCUAAUCCAAGAAGGAACAUAUAAAAUUCGACUUAUAUGCUUGUUCUACUACUUGUUAAAUUACACAAAAAAGCAUGUUUUAUAACAUCGAGUUACCAAUGCAUUUUCGUACAAUCAAUGUAUUACCAACUCAUAGGCAACAAGUCAUAUCGCUAGGUUUGAAGACUUAUAUGAUAUUACCGUCUCAUGAUCACUCGAGAUAAAUUCCAUGAAGUGAUACCAGUGAGCGUGGGUUGAAUCCAAUACUCAGAACUUAUGACCACUCAUGAGUGUUGUAGCAACACUUUGCAAUGUCCAACAGCUUAGACAUAUACAACCAACUGCAUGACAGUCUUGGUUCAUAUCUACGUCCGACAUAUGACCAACUGUGGAAAAUUUGAAUAAUAUGAUAUACCAUUACAUAAUUAUUCUGGAAGUCAAAGUUUCCAAAAUGAAAUGAUAGUAAAUGAUUGAAAAACUAUAACAACACUUUACUCAUAAAUAAACACAUGCUUUGUUCAUCAUCAAAUGUUAAUUACACUUUACACAUUUCAAAGCUAUCUAACUACUAAAACUAAUAUCAUCCUUCAGCCCUAUGUACCUCGCAUGCUGGAGAUGCUUAACCUUGCCCAGUCCCUUCGUAAAGGGAUCUGUCGGGUUCUCAAUCGAUGAUACCGUCUUUGCCACGAGGAGUCCUUCUUCUAUUUUGUGUCUGAUGAAAUGAUAUUUCUUGUCAAUCUGUCUGGAUCUUGUAUGAUCUCUUGGUUCCUUGGCUAAGGCAACCACAUUAUUGCUAUCACAGAAAAUCUCCAUAGGCUCCUUUAUAGCUAGUACAGCUCCAAGGUCUCCGAUGAAGUUCUUAAGCCAUAUAACUUCUUGUGCUGCCUCGCUUGCGGCUAUAUACUCUGAUUUGCAAGUUGAAUCAGCCACUGUCUCCUGCUUGGAACUUUUCCAAGUUACUGCUCCUUCGUUUAAGGAAAAGAUCCAGCCUGGAUGAGAGCAGAAAUUAUACCUAUCAGUCUAGAAGCUAGCAUCACUAUACCCAACUACUCUCAAGUCAUCACUCCCACCGAGGGUAAGGACCCAGUCCUUAGUCGUCCGCAUGUACUUGAGAAUGUUCAUUACCGUAGUUCAGUGAUCCUCUCCAGGAUUCCCCUGAUAUCUACUAACCAUGCUCAGUGCAAAGGGCACUUCAGGACAAGUACAAGUCAUAGCAUACAUGAUCGAGCCUACAAUGGAAGCAUACGGAACUCGACUCAUCACUGCUAUCUCAGCCUCUGUACUCGGGCUCUGAGUCUUACUCAUUUUGGCGUUGCUCCGGAUCGGUAACUCACCUUUCUCGGAGUUCUGCAUGUUGAAUCUUUUCAACACUUUAUCCACAUAGGUGCUCUAACUAUGUCCAAUUAGUAUUUUACUCUUGUCUCUCAAAAUCCGUAUCCCUAGGAUGUAGGUAGCUUCUCCAAGGUCCUUUAUAGCGAAACACUUCCCAAGCCAGGACUUUACUUCUAUAAAAGUUGGGUUCGCAUUUCCUAUGAGUAGUAUGUCAUCCACAUACAAUACAAAAAAACUGACUAUACUCCCACUAGCCUUGACAUAUACACAAGAUUCAUCUUCACUUCUCAGAAAGUCAAAGUCUUUGACCUUCUCAUCAAAGCAAAGAUUCCAUCUGCGAGGUGUUGAUUUAAUCCAUAGAUGGAUUUCUAUAGCUUAUACACUCUAUUAGGGUACUCUAUACUGACAAAACCCUCUAGCUGACUCAUGUAAACAUCCUCAGCCAACUUUCCAUUAAGGAAAGCGGUUUUGACAUCCAUUUGCCAUAUUUCAUAAUCAUGAAAUGUAGCAAUGGCUAACAUAAUCCAAAUAGACUUAAUCUUCGCUACAGAUGAAAAGGUCUCAUCAUAAUCAACUCCCGGAGUUUGAGAGAUGCCCUUUGCAACAAGUCGCGCCUUAUAAGUGUGUACAUUACCAUCCAUGUUGGGCUUCUUCUUGAAGAUCCAUUUGCACCCGACUAUCUUGCGACUUGGUACAUUGUCAACCAAGUUCCAAACUUGAUUGUCAUACAUGGAUUGUAUCUCACUAUCCAUAGCCUCUUUCCAUUUAGCAGCCUCAGGGCCUGCCAUGGCUUCCAUGUAGCUGUUAGGUUCAUCCAGACUUUCCAGUGGCCUAUCACUGAGUGUAUCACCUUCCGUAGUAAUAUGGAAACCAUAGUAAUGCUCAGGUGCAUUCCUAACUCUCAUGGAAUGCCUCAGAGGUACACACUGUUCUGUCGAAUCAACAGGAGUUUCCUCCUCAGGUUGAUUGCUAGGGUUUGAGGUUCCUUCACCACUUGACUUUUGAAUUUCUUCAGGGUCAAUUUGCCUCCCACUGUUUCCUUGGCUCAUGAAUUCUUUCUUGUGAAAGACUCCUCUCCUUGCUACAAAUACCACAUUAUCAUUGGGUCUGUAGAAGAGGUAACUGAAGCAACUUUGUGGGUAGCCAAUGAAAAUACACCUCUCACUUCGAGGUUUGUGCUUAUCGUGAGACUUGCGCCUCACAAAAGCCUCGCUACCCCAAAUCUUGAUGUGGUACAUAUUGGUAACUUUUUCGGUCCACAUCUCAUGAGGUGUUUUGGCAGCCUUCUUUGUAGGGACUAGAUUAAGAAUAUGAGCAGCAGUCUCUAAGGCAUACACCCAAAAUGAGAUUGGUAGCGAAGCUCGACUCAUCAUGGAACGAACCAUAUCCAACAAGGUUCGAUUGUGCCUCUCAGCCACACCAUUAAGUCGUGGUGUCCUAGGAGGUGUCAAUUGUGAGAUAAUCCCACAUUCCUUAAGAUAGUCAAGGAACACUGUACUAAGAUACUCACUACCUCAAUCGGAUCAAAGCAUCUUAAUGUUCCUGCCCAACUUCCUGUUUGAACUCUUCCAGUUUGAACUCUUUGAAUCUUUCAAAGGUCUCUGACUUAUGCUUGAUUAAGUAGACAUAUCCAUAGAAGUAGUUAGCAUCUCUUGUGGCGGUUCUGAAGGGUCCACACACAUCAGUGUGUAUGAGGUCCAACAAACACGGAACGUCGUAAAAUUUUCAAACAAUUUUUCAUUUUCAAAUCAUACUUUUAAUCAUAAAACAAUAUCCAAACAUAAAGUAUCCAAUGUCAAAACCACAAGCAAUUUCCUAGAAUCUCAAAAUAAAAUCUCCAUGAGUAUGUACGGAUAAUGUCGGCGGCUUCCCGCGAUCCUCACUAGUACCUGAAACACAUAACACAACAAUUGUAAGCAUAAAUGCUUAGUGAGAUCCCCAAAAUACCACAUACAACACAUACGCCUUUCCAGGCCAUAACUCUGUGGGACCUUCUGGUCCAAGUGUCUUAGGGGACUUCCGUCCCAAAUCCCGGUAGACCUUCCGGUCCUACCCGUAUCGACCUUCCAGUCCGUAACCUCUUGACCUUCCGGUCCUUAUCAUACAUAACAUACAUAACACAUACAUAUCACAUAAUGGCAUACAACACAUACAUCUCAUAGCAUAUAAGACCAUCCGGUCACACAUAUGUACCCUUCUAGGUACAGUAUAGUGAGAAGACUCACCUCAAUGAAGUCGGAUAAACUCUCGUGCUCAACGUCCCAACCUAGCCUCCUCUUAUCAUUCAAAUAACAUCCCCGAUCAAUACUCUCUCAUAGUCUCAUCUCUAAAGAUUAAGUAGAAGGCCAUUCUACCCCUCCCUGAACUCUCUUGAAUCAGUCUUGACCAAAACCCUAAGGUCAACGAAAGUCAACGGUCAAACUUUGACCUGAAUCAUCGAGUCCACAUGAGCGACUCGACGAUUUCAUACGGGUCUUCUGAAUCCUUCUAGCCUCGCUUCGCAAGUCGAUUCAUCCCCUUCACUCGACGAGUUCCUCCUGUCACGAAUCGCGGGGCAACCUCGACUCGACUCGUCGAGUCCACUUAUGAACUCGGCGAGUUGCUUCCAUUAUCAUACUCAAAUGACCUUCUGAGCUCAGAUCUGCUUCUCUAACCUAUAUAUGACCUUCCCAAGCAUGAUAAGCACAUAAAGGUCGAAUCUUGGUACACAUGCAACAAACCUAAAGCCACUUUUGGUGAAAUAAACUCUAAAAUGGCCUCCUAGGCUCAUAACUCAAAAGGUAUGGCAUAAAGCACAAUGGUAAGGACUCUCUGGACCUCUUAAGGUCUAGAUCUAUGAACCAUUUCGCCUUGGGACCUCACAUACUCUAGAUUCAAACUAAAAGAGGCAUGAAGAAAACCCUAGAUUCCACUAGAAUAAUUAUAAACACGAGAAUGGAAUAGAUUGUUACCUCUAAAAGCUUCCUCUGAUCAAAUAGAUGUGGAUCCAAGCUCCUCAACCCGCUUAGCUUGUUCUACCUCCUUCCUUCUUGCUAAAACACACAAGAAAUGGUGAACAAGAGCGCUUCUCUCACUCUCAAGGCUCACAGAUGCUCUGGUACUCUCUAGGAUGAAGGUAGCCGCAACUAAGGGCCAUAAGGUCCUUUAAAUAGGGUACGAUCCUGGGGAUUUAGGGUUUCAACUCAUAGAGCGGACUCGUCGAGUCCACCUUUUCCGACUCGUCGAGUCCGUUCAUUAAUCCAGUCAGCACACGCGAUCCUACUCGACGAGUCUAAGAGUCAACUAGUCGAGUCCCUCUCUUUUACUCAAAAUAAAUGAUAAAUCAUAAUACCUAGAAAUCUGGAUGGUACAAUUCUCCCCCACUAGAAUCAGACUUUGCCCUCAAAGUCUUGCUCCGCAAAGAACUCUGGAUGCUGCUCCCGUAUCUUCAACACCGGCUCCUAAGUCAGCUCGGACCCUCUCGAUGUUGCCAUUGGACUUGAACCAGGGGUACCUCCUUGUUCCUCAGAACCUUGAUCUUUCGAUCUACAAUCAUCACUGGCCUCUCAACAUAAUUCACGGUCGCAUCUACUUGAAUAUCUUCCAAUGGCACCACCACCGACUCGUCGAGUAUACACUUCCUCAACUGAGACAUGUGGAAGGUAUCAUGAAUCUGGCUCAACUCCGCAGGUAGAUCCAAACGAUAUGCUACCCUGUCCACCCUUACGGUCACCCUGAACGGAACAAUGUACCGGGGCCCUAACCUGCCCCUCUUCCUGAAUCAGAUCACUCCUUUCCAAGGAGAUACCUUUAGGAGUGCGAAGUCUCCCACCUGGGACUCAAGCUCGGAUAGUCGCCUAUCCGCAUAACUCUUCUGGCGACUCUAAGUUGUCAACAACCUAUGUCUGAACUGUUGUAUCUGCUUUGUCGUAUGAAGCACUAACUCUAUGCUACCCAACACUCGCUGCCCGACUUCUCCCCAGCAGAUGGGAGUCCGACACCUCCUCCCAUACAACAACUCAAAAGGGGAAUACCGAUACUCGAAUGGUGACUAUUGUUAAAAGAAAACUCAGCCAACGGCAUAUAUGUUUCCCAACUUCCUCCGAAGUCCAACACACACGCCCUAAGUAUGUCCUGAAGCGUCUGAAUUGUCCGCUCGCUCUGGUCGUCCGUCUGUGGGUGGUAUGCGGUACUAAAAUGCUGCCUUAUUCCCAACUCCUCAUGGAAUUUCUUCCAGAAACUAUAAGUGAAAUGCACAUCUUGAUCCGAUAUGAUCGAGAUCGGUACUCCAUGCCACGAUACCACCUCUGUCACAUACAGCUCAGCCAGCCUCUGAACAAAAGAGCUCUCAUUGAUAGCAAGGAAACGAGCGCUCUUCGUGAGCCGGUCAACUAUCACCCAAAUUGCAUCGACACCCUGGGGAACCUCAAGUGGCUGCAACUUGGUGAUAAAAUCAAUGGAAAUCUGUUCCCACUUCCACUAGGAAACCUCAAGUGGAUGCAACAUGUCGUGCGGACGCUGGUGCUCAACCUUAACCCUGCGACAGUGUAAUGACCCAAUUUUCAAGUCCAAAAAUUUCAUUUUAAUUAACUGACUCAUAAAAACAUUCAUACGAAAAUAUUGUGAAAUCACAUCAUCUCAUAAAACAUUGUAUCAUGUCUAAAAACCCAAGUCAUUAAAAUAUUAACAUGUUAGAGUACAAUCCUAGAAUAACCAUAGUGCAGAAAACAAUGAGUGUGUGUAUGCUGUGCCGCUACCGCGCCAGCUCCUUCCCCUUCGCUGAAGAGGUACUUGAAACCAAAACUGUAAACUGUAAGCACGAAGCUUAGUGAGUCCCCCCAUCGUACCGCAUACCAUACAAUCACAUAACAUACACAUACUGUCAGGCAUAACAGGGUGCCCGACCUACCCCUUCGGUCCUCUCGACUGGAUGCUGCCUAGCAUACCAGGGUGCUGGCCUCCCUUUCGGUCCUCUCGAACGGAUAAUGCCCUACAUAUCUAGGUGUUGGCCUCCCUAGCGGUCCUCUCGACCAGAUACUGCCUAGCAUACUCGGGUGCUGGCCCCCCCUUCGGUCCUCUCGACCUGAUGUUGGGGACUAUUUCACUCCUCUACUACUACCACAUAGCAUGUAACACAUAACCAUAUUCUAUCUAGUAUGACUGGGUAUGACCAUCCGUUUUUGGCCCUAUCGACCGAUAACCUUGGGGACUAUCUCCCCUACUGCUACUAGCAUCUAAUAUCAUAUCAUACUAGCACAAAACAUAUGAGGUAGUAGCAAACCCAGAUGAAUAUCACAAAGACAAUCAUCUAAUAUACAACUCCUACUGGUGGGCCGGUAUUGUGGUCGUAGACCCACCGCUACUGGAAUGUAAGUCACCUCGUACGAGUAGCUGCUGAUAAUCUGUGUGGGAAACCUCUGUCUGCUGCUGCUCCGGAAAUCCUCCGACUGUAAUCUCCAGAAAACACUUAGUCAUAAUCUGAUAUCUACUCUUAAGGUAAAACGACUAUUUUUCCCCUAACCAAGUCAAAGACAAAGUCAACUUCCAGUUGACCCGACUUGUCGACUUGGGACGUCAACUCGUCGAGUCCCUAACCCCUUACUCAUCCUUAUCCACGACUCUACUCGUCGAGUUUGGCAACGACUCGACGAGUUCCUCCGCAAAGUUUUAAAAUAAAAGGAAAUUUUUGAUUUUAUGUAUCCUUACAAUGGCGUUUGUGAAAAAAUUGUUGCUUAUAUGAUUCCAUUAAUAGCAAGAGUGGAAAUAUGAAAUUGAUUCUUUCAUUUGUGGUAAUGUCUAAAUUUACCAAAUAAGGAAAGAUCCUCAUCACCCAAGUUUCAAUUGGACCGGAACUUGGAAUCAUGCGAGUUGUAUAGCAUGAUGAAUGAGAAUUUUUCAUCUUUGUAAAAUUAAGACUAGUUCCUUGUUCACAUGUAUAUGUGAGUCAAGUGAAGGGCUAAGGGAUCGAGUACACAUUCUUGUACAAUGGUCAAGUCCACCACAAAAGAUCGAUAAGAUUAUUCGUCAUAAUUUACUAAAGCUCAAUAAACAUGGUUAUCCUUACAAGCUUAUGUAUAAUUCUGAGACAUAGGAAAAAGGUUCCGAUGUAUGACAGAGCGAAUAAAAAGAAUCGAAUUAGGCAGAAAGAUAAAAGUUUCUCAAAUCUGAAAAGAUGAGAGAGUACUUUAGUAUCAUGUCUUAAGACCAUGUUAGUGAUUUUUGACCUUAUCAUAAUUCAUCCUCUAAGUGCAUUCUGAUAGCUAAGACGAGGAGCUAUGAAUUGUUGAAGUGGUCAAAUCAAGAAGAUAAGUCAUACUUCGUUCCAAAACAAGUCUUAGAGUCAUACUCCAAGAUUGUAACUUGAGUGACAUGUCUUAAAGAAGGUUUAAAACACUUGUCAAAUGUAAGAGUAAAAGUUUUCUACUCUUGUACAUUUGAAAUUGGUAAGUUGUGAUGUUUUGGAUAAAACAAAGACCAACUAAGGCCAAUUGUGUGAAGUGUUUGUCUUGAUUAGAAUCCACACUAUCUCUUGAAUAUUUGACAAGAGAGUCUUAUAUGUCAAGAGGACGGUGGUAGUCCUUAAGGUCUUGAAAGUAUCAAGAACUAAUCUAGAAUAAAACCUGAAGUUCUUCACUAGCACAUGACUUGAGGUUUAUAACCUAUCGUGUUGAUAUAUUCUGUGCCCAUUCCAGUUAAAGUUGGCUCUGCAUAUGAGUUCUUAGAGUUCUUAAUUGGUAGCACAACAACUUGGAAGCAAUGGCAGGCCCUUGAGCUGCCAAGUGGUAAGAAAUUAAGAUUGAGUUUAGUCCAUAUGAGCUUGGAUUUGUCAUUAUCCUUGUCUUGUGACUAUGGUUUUGACAAUUCACAUGGAUAAGAACACAUACACCAUUAAAUCUAAGUGUCAUAAGGUUUAUCUCCGAUUCAAAAAAAUGAUGGUGAGGAAACACUUUCACUAAGUAGAGGUUAGAUAGAUAGCAAUUGUUAUAUUUGCAUUCUCAAAGUCGUUAGUGGAGCGUGUGUGGUUUACCGGCACACUAACACGGACUUGUGAGAAGUGGAAAAGGUCUAAACAAUCAAGACUAUGAUUACGACAUCCCUAUUCAUAGUUCUUAAAAUUUUUUAGAUACACCUGUGAGCUAUCUAAGGGAAGGUGUAUGAUUUUGAUAAAGUCUUAUCAAAGCAAUCUAGUAUCAUAAAUUUGAACUUUGUUAAGAAAGUCAAUUAUGUAUUGAUUUCUAGAAGUCCAGCUAAUUUCUGGAUACAUGAUAAGGCUAGUGGGAGCUAAGUGUUAUGCUAAUAAUCAUCAUGUUAGUGGGAGCAUGAUAAUUAUGAUAAGUAUUGCAAGUUAUCAAUGUUAAUUAUAGAAAACAAAAGUUUUCAAUUGGGAAAGAGUUGUUUUGCUAUACUUAAGGGAG